rnacentral:rRNA from 1 species
GACGAACGCUGGCGGCGUGCCUAAUACAUGCAAGUAGAACGCUGAAGGAGGAGCUUGCUCUUCUGGAUGAGUUGCGAACGGGUGAGUAACGCGUAGGUAACCUGCCUGGUAGCGGGGGAUAACUAUUGGAAACGAUAGCUAAUACCGCAUAACAGUAGAUGUUGCAUGACAUUUGCUUAAAAGGUGCAAUUGCACCACUACCAGAUGGACCUGCGUUGUAUUAGCUAGUUGGUGGGGUAACGGCUCACCAAGGCGACGAUACAUAGCCGACCUGAGAGGGUGAUCGGCCACACUGGGACUGAGACACGGCCCAGACUACUACGGGAGGCAGCAGUAGGGAAUCUUCGGCAAUGGACGGAAGUCUGACCGAGCAACGCCGCGAGAGUGAAGAAGGUUAUCGGAUCGUAAAGCUCUGUUGUAAGAGAAGGACGAGUGUGAGAGUGGAAAGUUCACACUGUGACGGUAGCUUACCAGAAAGGUACGGCUAACUACGUG